GUGGGGAAUAUUGGACAAUGGGCGAAAGCCUGAUCCAGCCAUGCCGCGUGUGUGAAGAAGGUCUUCGGAUUGUAAAGCACUUUAAGUUGGGAGGAAGGGCAGUAAGUUAAUACCUUGCUGUUUUGACGUUACCGACAGAAUAAGCACCGGCUAACUUCGUGCCAGCAGCCGCGGUAAUACGAAGGGUGCAAGCGUUAAUCGGAAUUACUGGGCGUAAAGCGCGCGUAGGUGGUUUUGUAAGUUGGAGGUGAAAUCCCCGGGCUCAACCUGGGAACUACAUCCAAAACUGCAUGACUAGAGUACGGUAGAGGGUAGUGGAAUUUCCUGUGUAGCGGUGAAAUGCGUAGAUAUAGGAAGGAACACCAGUGGCGAAGGCGACUACCUGGACUGAUACUGACACUGAGGUGCGAAAGCGUGGGGAGCAAACAGGAUUAGAUACCCGAGUAGUCC
rnacentral:rRNA from 1 species